rnacentral:lncRNA from 1 species
GAGAAGUGAAGCUGCAAUGGAGAGAGGGGCAGGAAUGGGCAAUAAAGCGUAGGUUUUAGUUGUUAGUGAAAAAAUUUAGAAAUAAUUGUAUGAUAUUGUCACUUUAUCUAUGUUUCUUCAUCAAGGCAAUUGUCUUGUUGAUAGUACUUUAAUUAAUGGAUAUGUUGGUUCAAAGUACUCAGUUUCUUUGGUGAAGCAAAGAAUUGAUUGCCAAUGCAAUGUCAUGGAUAAUUUAUUUAGGCAUUAUUAACCUAUUAGAAAAUAAAAUAAUAUAUUAGAUUUAUAAAUGCAAAUAAAAGAAUCAUUAUAUAUUAGUACACACAAAAAUAGAUGUAUCUAUAAAUCGUCUCUAUAUUUCUUAAUACACAAUGUGGUGUUACGAUAAAACGUGUCUAUAUCCAUAGACGCGUAAUAAAAAUGUAUCUACGAUAUUAUUUCUACAUUUGUUAACACGCAAAUUAGUGUUACGAUGAAACGUGUCACUCACCACAUCAUCCGCCAC